AUUGAACGCUGGCGGCAGGCCUAACACAUGCAAGUCGAACGGUAGCACAGAGAGCUUGCUCUCGGGUGACGAGUGGCGGACGGGUGAGUAAUGUCUGGGAAACUGCCCGAUGGAGGGGGAUAACUACUGGAAACGGUAGCUAAUACCGCAUAACGUCGCAAGACCAAAGUGGGGGACCUUCGGGCCUCACACCAUCGGAUGUGCCCAGAUGGGAUUAGCUAGUAGGUGGGGUAAUGGCUCACCUAGGCGACGAUCCCUAGCUGGUCUGAGAGGAGGACCAGCCACACUGGAACUGAGACACGGUCCAGACUCCUACGGGAGGCAGCAGUGGGGAAUAUUGCACAAUGGGCGCAAGCCUGAUGCAGCCAUGCCGCGUGUAUGAAGGAGGCCUUCGGGUUGUAAAGUACUUUCAGCGGGGAGGAAGGCGGUGAAGUUAAUAACUUCACCGAUUGACGUUACCCGCAGAAGAAGCACCGGCUAACUCCGUGCCAGCAGCCGCCGUAA
rnacentral:rRNA from 1 species